AUGGUGCUCGGUGGCUGCGGCAACGGAGCUGAUGGAGCGCAAGCCGACCAGUUCAACGGAGGCAGUAGCACGGGGCAGCGGCAGCAGCAUGGAGGGCGUCCGCUUGACUGGGAAGGUAAUGGAACUGCAAAUAGGAAUGGCAGCGGCAACCAUGAUGCAAGUGCAAGUGGUUCUCAAAGCUCUUGGAAAGAUGCGAUAGCGAAGAUAUUAGAUCCAAAGAGUGCUCUUUCAGCCAUUGAUGAAGUUAGUAAGUUUAGGGAGUGCCAAGGAAGGUUUGGGACCAGAUUAGCACAAGAAGCUGCGGCGAGAAUGGAGCCAACCCAAUGGUGGUUUCAAUUUGGAGGGGAUCUUCCUGCAUUGCAGAAGUGUGCAAUGAGAAUACGUGCUGAAGAAGAUCAAGAGAAAGAGAGAGAUAUAGAUAAAGAGGUUGAUCCAAGUGCAUUGCUGAUAGAUACAACAAUGUUCGAUGAGACGAAUCCAAUAAUGGAGUGGCUGAAUGAGGAUGAAGAUGAUCCAAUUGUGGAUGGAGCUGAUGCGGCCAGUGCUGUUUUUGAGAAAAUAAGGCGCCUCAACUCAAGCAGGAAGGAUUCUUAUGUUGGUACAAAGGCUAAUAAGAAGAAAAGAAAGAGGAAUCAUGAUGAGGAGAAUGAGUAUGUCGAAACUAAGAGUGAGGAUGACGACAAUGAGAAUGAAUAUCUUGAUAAUGAGAGUGAGGAUGAUGAUGGUGAUCGAAGGCGAAGGAAGAGGCAAUUGAUCAUGUCACUCCGGCAGGCCGUCGGUUUCCUCCACACACGGAAGAUGAGGUUCUCGCCGCCACUAACGACGGCUCCUGCUGCACGAUGUAUCCAUUCCUUGAGGGAUCUCCCCUUGGCUGACGGCCAUCGUGGAGCUGCUGGUGUGGCCGCGGCCGUGGCUGCGUUGUUGGCUGGUGGUGGAGCCUUGGCCUUUCAUCAGUACAAGAAAGGCAAGGAAGAGGAGGACAUGAAGGAGAUGUUCGAGGACUGGGUGAAGAAGUACAACAAGAGAUACCGGGACGAGGAAGAGAAGGCCAUGCGGUUCCAGAUGUUCAAGGACACCGUCGACAAGCUCCCGCGCCGCCCAGAGGGAAUACACUAUUUAGCAGACCGGACAGAUAAGGAGAUCCGGAGGUUUAAGGCCUAUCCGGACGGAAUUCAACACGAAGAGUACGCAAAGUUCUACAGGGAUCUCUUGGCCAAGGAGGAGAGCCACUGA
rnacentral:rRNA from 1 species